GGGGGCAGGGGCAGAAAACUAAAAGGAAGAAAUGCUUUUAAGGUACUCUAAAAAGAAAUACAGUUUUCUGGAUUUACUACCUGAAGAAUGAAUAUUCAGAAGUACAGAGCUAUGCAGAAUGAAUGGGAACAUACUGUUUGUUUAAUAAGUCCCAGCAGAGACAGUUCAAGCAUAUGUUUUCACAUCACCUGGAGGUAGCUGGGAAGGACUGUGGCAACACUGUCAAGAAAGUGACAGUUUACAAGAUUUUAUGUAUUUUACCGUAUAGAGCACGGCUCACCUUCGACAUGCGUGAAAUCACUUAAAGGUCUGUACCCAAGGCCUGAGAUGGUCUCCUCAUCCUUUUACCAACUCAUAACCCUAGUCUGACAGUGUGAAAGCUUUGCUCCUUGGACAUGAGAAGGAAACAGUCAAAUGAGCAUAUGUGCUCGUUAAUCCCAUGUGCCUGUCCUCAAGGCUCACAUAACCCACCCGGUGCUAUGCCUGCUGUCCUGCGUUGGAUAAUGAACCCAAGCUGGGGUACUUCCAAAACUUCUUCGUAGGCAGCUGGGUCACAUUGUGCUGCUCUAGGUGAUGCAAUAGGCAUAUGUUGGCAUGUAUUUUUACAAAACAUAAAGCUACUCUGAUAUAUGAAUUCCAUCCCUUGUAUCAAUGUGAUGUUUCUUUGUAACAUCACCCUUUUAGAGAAUACAAGCUGCCUCUGCAAAUACUAUUUAAAGCUUUCCAGAUCUUAUUAAAUAUCCCAUCUUUCUGCCUCUAAUGUUUAUUUACUCAGAUGUUCACAUCCAAGGUAUACUGACAGCAGCAGCUAAAACCUCAACACAUUGUUCUCUACCGGUGUGAAAAUUAUUAUUCUAUAAGUACAUUUUUGCAUUAUACCUGAAAUUAUCAGUCUUGGAUCAUGCUAUCAAAAAGACAGGCCUGAACUGCAGAAGAUCGCAAUUUUAACUAAUUUCCCAACUGUUAAAUUGCAGUAAAGUCUAUAUUAAGCAACCCUUUGGUGUGCCAUUAACCUAAUUCUUACAGUUUAACUUCGAACUGUUGAUUAGAGUUAUUUAAAAUAAUGGGUAUGACUUCAGUAGGGCCCAGCAUAAAUAGGGAGCCAUUAUAAAAAAAAUUAAUAUAUACAGUUUGUGUUGUAAGUUUUGAAUAUUACUGCUACUUUUUUAAUGUCUGUUUUGAACUUUUUUGGUAUUUAAGUUAUUUAUUGUUCAGCUUGAACAGAAUACUUAACUCUGGUAAUAAGACCUUCUUAAACUGUGUAUGUAGAUUGUACUUAGGAAGAAAUUUUAGCUUGUUUUGUCUCAUAGUUCUUCUGUGCUUUUAAUCAUUGAGUUAGUAUAAGGAUAUCUUAGGCUUUAACACCAUUUCCCUGUAGAUUAAUUAUUCCCAUAUAAAAUUAAUAUGUAUUGAACAUAUGUACUUGCUUACGGUAGCAGACUUGGCUGUUUCAUUUCAUAUAAAUCUUCUGUCACACAAAACAAAACCUUCAUAUUUAAGACUUCUUUGGUCAUUAAAAUUGAAUUACGUAGUAGGCUUCCAUCUGCUAUCAAAACCUGUUCAACAUUAUUCCCUGUCAUUUUAAGUGGGAUUGCUCUGAGAUCCGUUUACUGACAGCAGGCUUGCUGCUCCUGCCCUACCCCACUCCUAGUCAGGGCUUCCUUCCUCGCUGCAAGGGCAUCUUGAUGUUAAUUGCCUUCUCAGAAGGUUUUCUCCAGGAGUUGGGUUCUUGUUUCUUCUGUGUUGCCAUCCUCUACAUCCUUAUGCUUGUGUAUUUAAGUGGUGCACAAGUUCUGCCACUUACUGCCCCCAGCCCAUUACAUUUAUUGCUCUGUGUUUAGGGGGGAUGAUCAGCUUUGCUAUCUGUCAAACUCAGCCACUAUCGCCAUGACACUGAUCACGGUUAGCAGAGCAGUUACUAUUAAAUGAUUGGCAAUGGAACAACAAGAGAGUGGAUAGAGAAGAUGGAUAGCUCAGCAUUGCUGCGCUUAAAUGUGAGCUGUAAGCAGCAGUUUGGAGCUGGAUAAAUACAAUCUGAUUGCUGUAAUGACAGCUAGGCUGCACGUUAUUGCAAAUGCUCUCUCUGUAAGAAUAGCUGAGGACUGGAAUAGAUGACCGAAGCAGGGGCAGGAAUUUCACAGAAAGUUUAUUUUUUUUAAGAACUGCACUGAUAAGUGGGGCUAGAUAUGCUUUAGGAAACCAGAUUGUGCUUUAUAGUGAAGGAGCUGGACCUGAUAACUUCAUGAGGUCACUGCUGGUCCUGGCUGAGGCUGUUUGAAGCUCCAAAUGUCUAAUACAGGUAUGCAGGAAGGAGGGCAGAGAGGAAGGCCAACUUAAGUAAUUAAUAACUUAUGGAGUAUAUGAGGCCUCGGGAUUUUUCUUGAACAAACCACUUAGUUGCUGGAAGACUGAACAGUUCCAGGAUUAUCUGAUCCAGCCCGAUAUCGAUACCAUUGCGAUAUCUGGCAAAAGGAAUGAUAUUUUUUCCUUGAGUCCUACAAUGAAGAAAACAAAUCCAUGGGCAAAGAUAACACCUUCAGCAUCCUCCUCCCAGGCAAAUAAAUGAGAAGACAGUUCAGUUCAAUCCAGGUGCCAUACAGUAUUUUUUUUAUUUAUCCUUUAUGAUACCUUUCAGGUUAUAGUUUUUUCUUUUUCAUUAAGCACGAUUUUGUUUUUCCAUUAUGCAGCCAUCUGAAUUACUGACACCUUGCCUGUUUCUUUCCUUUAUGAAAUUAUCUAAACUUUUAAAAGAAGAUUUAAAACUUUAUUAAAUUUGAUAAUAAACAGAGCAGACGUUUACUCCCUCAAUUUCCUGAUAUCUACAAAUGUUGCAACAUUUUUAGAAUGUGCUUUUUCCUCCUGGCUUGGGCAGAUGUUGUUCUAUUAAAGUUUGAAAAAAUCGAAGGAAAUGGUUUUGUUAUGUUUUAUGUGGCAAUAAAACUACUGAAUUAAAACAAUGACACUAUUGAUUACCCUUUGAUAUAAGAAAUUUAUCUAAAUUAAUUAUCUUUUGCUAUUUGCUAAAAAUAUUAGAAUGUGAAAAUUCACAAUGAUAGAACAUCUGUUGAACAGAGGACUUAUUAAAGAUACUGUAAUAAGCUAUGUAAUGAAUGCUUUCAGCUUCCAAAAGAGGAAAAUAUUGUGUAUGACAUUUAUUUAAAUAAUUUGCCUCAAUUCAAGAUUUCCAUUCUACUGCUAAGAAAAAGAAGCAAUUUUGCCUUGGAAACAUUACAAUUAAAUGUGUAAGCUUUACAGCAAGAGAAGGUAAAAUUAUAAUGUGGGAAUAUGUAAGUUAAAACAACUAAUGCAGGUUGUAGACAAAAAAGAUUUAUUUGAAGUCCUGCUUAGAGGCACAACACGUGGCAUACUGCAUUGAACUGGGUUUGAAUUUGGCUCAGGGUGACUUUUCUUCAGUCCCAAUCCUUCUGUUCAUAUUUUUUCUACUUCUCAGGAGUCUUUAUUUCAGAUCUUUUGGAGAUUUAAUCCUGGGAGUAGCUGAAAGACUUAGUCUUUUCUCCGCUGAUUUCCUCAAGAGGCAGCAAGCAUGAAUAAGUGUACAAAAUGAUGCAUUAUGCAAGCCAUCUCUUCUGGAUGCUUCUUGAAUUUCUUUUGCAUGUGCAAGCUUGUCCUUGCUUAUCAAAAUUCCUGUGUUUGAGAUAGGAAGCACAUAGUUCAUAGGAUGACCUACAAAGGUUCCUACAAACAUCCUCACCAUUCCUUACAAGGACUGAUUUUUUUUUUCUCUUGCAACCAUUCCUUCCUGAUGAGGAGGCUUACACCACAUCAAAUGAAACAUUAUGAGCACGAUAUGAUAAUGCGGGCCAAGCUGGAGAGUCUCUCAUUCCAUAUAAAUAAUUUCUUCAUAGAUGUUUUGUGAAAUGGGGAAGAGAGUUGUUGUUUCACUGGAACUCUUUGAGGGCUUUUCACAAACGCACAUUUUUGCUCUUGUGCACCCUGGCACUGUCUGGCUGUCAGCAGCUGAAAGGGCAUGCUGUUGACUGCUAUGGGGCUUGUCAUCCUUCAUAUGUAAGGGGAUAAGUGAUGGUCACUUUGACCUUCUACCCUGCCAUUAAUAUUCACUGUAAGUCUGGCAGUCAGGGAAGAACAACAACUCCACACUGGGGAACGCGGUUGCUUCUGCCAGUUUUCAAGAGGAUAAAUCUAAUGGUAAAGAACUGGUUUGUAGUGAGCUUGUUGGGACUUCAACUUCUCUUUUAUACAGGGAUACUUGGAGCAGGGAUUGGCAAAUGACAAGAUUGCAAGAAUUGUUUUCUCCUAUUAGUAUAUAUCUAGUACAGAUAGUAUCUUGCCAUUCCAUAACAUUUUUAUGUCAUUAGAGAACACUGCUAUCAUGUCAUUUUGUAGUUUGCUGAGGUAUGUAGUAUUGUGUGACCCUUUGCUGAUUAGGUAAAAAUCGUCUCAGGAAUAUUUGGGUCUCUCUCGUUAUCUGAAUGCUUCUUAGAUUUCUCUGUCCAUAAAGUGUGCCAAAUUAAGGCUGAAUAAUAACCUUCUCUGGUCCAAAUCCACAGGAGGGGACUCAGGGUCAGCCCUCUUAAAGGAAAUACUAGGUAGUCAAAGGAUGAGCAAAAAUGAGAGGAAAAAGGCUGCUCCCAAAUUUAUCGCCUCCCCACUCCACCAAAUGCUUCAUGAUUUGUAUAAAGUAGUGGAUGUUUCUAGUCUUCUUGUUAAUACUGAUCUGUAAUGCACCUUGCUCAUGCAUGAUCUGUGAGUUGAAGUCGCAGUGGGCAAGUCUGCAAAAUAUGAAUUGUUUUAGCUGUGUAAUGUAAAUGAGGAAUCUGAAUGUGAAUAUUUAUAGACUCUGUUUUGGACUGAGAAGUAGGAUUUCUGUUGUCAAUCAGAAGACUGACCAGACUGUAAACAAGAUGUCUGUGACCUUGCUGGGUGGAAGAUGUGCAGACCGACAAACGCGUGUACGUGGCAUCAGGGGAUAUGCUGCAUGAACAAGGUGUUUGGCACUGUUAGUGACUGGUACCUGUGCAUGUGCUUUGCUAUGGAGAAAAACAAUUGAUUAGUAACUGCUCAGUAUGUGAUAACUAGUACACUGGGAACUGAGUAAGUACACAUAAAAUGUACAUGACCUUCCCAGGAAUAAGUAUGGAUAGAGAUAUAACUGGUUAAGCCCUUUUCAAACACAGCCACAAAUUCAAGUCUGACUAAUCUUGAGAGAGAUUCUUUGGAUUGUGUGAAUAAAACUUUUGCUCUCUGACUUUGAGUGUGGCAUUGUACUGAACCAGGCACGACAGAAACAAGGGCUAACAACAUUUUGUUUAUAAACUGAGUGUAAAACUCUGAUUUAGUGUUUUGCAAGACACAUUCAAAGAACUUUGUCUGUACUUUAGUGUGGCCAAAACUUAAACAUUUUGCUGUAUUCUGGGCACUAAAAAUGUAGAUUUAACUCAAAAGGUAUAAAAGGUUGGAAAACGAUUA